UACGUAGGGUCCAAGCGUUAUCCGGAAUUACUGGGUAUAAAGGGUGCGUAGGCGGCCUUGUGCGUCGAAGGUUAAAGGCCAUGGCUCAACCAUGGAAAUGCCCUCGAUACGGCAAGGCUUGAGUAUGAGAGAGGAAGAUGGAAUUCCUGGUGUAGCAGUGAAAUGCGUAGAUAUCAGGAGGAACACCGGUGGCGAAGGCGGUCUUCUGGCUCAUUACUGACGCUGAGGCACGAAAGUGUGGGGAGCAAACAGG
rnacentral:rRNA from 1 species